rnacentral:rRNA from 1 species
UACGUAGGGCGCAAGCGUUAUCCGGAAUUAUUGGGCGUAAAGAGCUCGUAGGCGGUUUGUCGCGUCUGCCGUGAAAGUCCGGGGCUCAACUCCGGAUCUGCGGUGGGUACGGGCAGACUAGAGUGAUGUAGGGGAGACUGGAAUUCCUGGUGUAGCGGUGGAAUGCGCAGAUAUCAGGAGGAACACCGGUGGCGAAGGCGGUUCUCUGGGCCUGUACUGACGCUGAGGAGCGAAAGCGUGGGGAGCGAACAGG